UGGAUGAAAAGGAAUUUGAUUAGGACGAACUGCUCCAAACUAAUUUUUGCAAAGGUCUAGUAGUUACUAAAAACAGUUAAGCCCAUAUUUGGAAAGGUUGGGGUAGUAUUUUGUUCAAUUUAUUUUUAAUAUGUCAAUUCCCAUAAGGUACAAAUUGUGCCUGGUUCUAUGUUAAAGCACAGAAAAUACACACGACCAGUGAAAAGACUUGUUCUAGUAA